GUCGGAACUUAUAGAGCGUCGGGUUCUAUUCGAAACGUCUUGAAGGAGCAGAGUAUAGAGAAAGAUAUCUAACAGGCAGUUGUGUGUACAUACAAAGCAUUGUGGUGAUGUUUCUGAUAGGAAGGGAAGAAUGUGACAUUAAGGGAGAUGCCCAAUUCCAGGUUCCUAACAAACCUGAUUUGCCACUUGUACUAGAAUACCCCAAAAGGAAUAGGAGAAGAGAAGUGUGUAAAAACAUUUUGAAGAGUUCCUAACAAACCUGAUUUG
rnacentral:misc_RNA from 1 species